AGAAAACGGACCACCAAACACAGUUUCUGCGAUUGAUUCAGGUCAUGUUCCUCGGAAAGAAAGUUUUGCUGCUGUCGUCACCUGCUAAUAUCGGAAGCUGAGCUGUUCUCGCCGCGCUCACUCGAAUGGAAGUGGUAGCUUAUGGACGUAUGCUUGGACCUGUCAUACCAGCACUGUUAAAAAUGUGUAUUUUAACUGUUCAUUAAAAGUAUUAUAAAAAGUUA